ACAAAUCCAAUAAUUGUGGGUUAGAGUUAACUCUGCCUGCAAAUAUUAAACCGCCGGUUUUCUAAAGAGAAUCGGUUGGAUAUAUAUGCGUGUAAUGUUGACAGUGUGUGAGUGACUUUAAUUUAUUGA
rnacentral:misc_RNA from 1 species